CGCUAGCUACAGGCUUAACACAUGCAAGUCGAGGGGCAGCAUUUUAGUUUGCUUGCAAACUAAAGAUGGCGACCGGCGCACGGGUGAGUAACACGUAUCCAACCUGCCGAUAACUCGGGGAUAGCCUUUCGAAAGAAAGAUUAAUAUCCGAUAGUAUAUUAAAACCGCAUGGUUUUACUAUUAAAGAAUUUCGGUUAUCGAUGGGGAUGCGUUCCAUUAGUUUGUUGGCGGGGUAACGGCCCACCAAGACUACGAUGGAUAGGGGUUCUGAGAGGAAGGUCCCCCACAUUGGAACUGAGACGCGGUCCAAACUCCUACGGGAGGCAGCAGUGAGGAAUAUUGGUCAAUGGACGAGAGUCUGAACCAGCCAAGUAGCGUGAAGGAUGACUGCCCUAUGGGUUGUAAACUUCUUUUAUAUGGGAAUAAAGUAUUCCACGUGUGGAAUUUUGUAUGUACCAUAUGAAUAAGGAUCGGCUAACUCCGUGCCAGCAGCCGCGGUAAUACGGAGGAUCCGAGCGUUAUCCGGAUUUAUUGGGUUUAAAGGGAGCGUAGGUGGAUUGUUAAGUCAGUUGUGAAAGUUUGCGGCUCAACCGUAAAAUUGCAGUUGAAACUGGCAGUCUUGAGUACAGUAGAGGUGGGCGGAAUUCGUGGUGUAGCGGUGAAAUGCUUAGAUAUCACGAAGAACUCCGAUUGCGAAGGCAGCUCACUAGACUGCAACUGACACUGAUGCUCGAAAGUGUGGGUAUCAAACAGGAUUAGAUACCCUGGUAGUCCACACAGUAAACGAUGAAUACUCGCUGUUUGCGAUAUACAGUAAGCGGCCAAGCGAAAGCAUUAAGUAUUCCACCUGGGGAGUACGCCGGCAACGGUGAAACUCAAAGGAAUUGACGGGGGCCCGCACAAGCGGAGGAACAUGUGGUUUAAUUCGAUGAUACGCGAGGAACCUUACCCGGGCUUAAAUUGCAUUUGAAUAAUCUGGAAACAGGUUAGCCGCAAGGCAAAUGUGAAGGUGCUGCAUGGUUGUCGUCAGCUCGUGCCGUGAGGUGUCGGCUUAAGUGCCAUAACGAGCGCAACCCUUAUCUUUAGUUACUAACAGGUCAUGCUGAGGACUCUAGAGAGACUGCCGUCGUAAGAUGUGAGGAAGGUGGGGAUGACGUCAAAUCAGCACGGCCCUUACGUCCGGGGCUACACACGUGUUACAAUGGGGGGUACAGAAGGCAGCUACCUGGUGACAGGAUGCUAAUCCCAAAAACCUCUCUCAGUUCGGAUCGAAGUCUGCAACCCGACUUCGUGAAGCUGGAUUCGCUAGUAAUCGCGCAUCAGCCAUGGCGCGGUGAAUACGUUCCCGGGCCUUGUACACACCGCCCGUCAAGCCAUGAAAGCCGGGGGUACCAGAAGUACGUAACCGCAAGGAGCGUCCUAGGGUAAAACUGGUAAAUGGG
rnacentral:rRNA from 1 species